rnacentral:rRNA from 1 species
UACAGAGGGUGCAAGCGUUAAUCGGAAUUACUGGGCGUAAAGCGUGCGUAGACGGUUACAUAAGUCGGGUGUGAAAACCCAGGGCUCAACCCUGGCAGUGCACACGAUACUGCGAGACUGGGGUACUGAAGAGGAGAGCGGAAUUCUCGGUGUAGAGGUGAAAUUCGUAGAUAUCGGGAGGAACACCAGUGGCGAAGGCGGCUCUCUGGGCAGAUACCGACGCUGAGAUGCGAAAGCGUGGGAAGCAAACAGG